ensembl:lncRNA
CCCCCACCCCCCCGCCCUCACACACACACACACACACACACACACACACACACACACACACACACACACACACACACACACACACACACAGACACAGACACAGCAACAGACACGGACACGGACACGGACACGGACACGGACACGGACACGGACACGGACACGGACACGGACACGGACACGGACACGGACACGGACACGGACACGGACACAGACACACACACACACACACACACACACACACCUAGCUAAAGCUAUUUUGGGUGUCAGUAUCCCAGGGCAGCCUCGGAGAUUAGACUCUGGACCGGUUUGGAGACAUCGCCCCGUGUCUUAUCAGGUGACAUGCCCCUCCCUGUCUCACCUGCUUUGUUUUUCUCUCUUUCCCUCUGUCGCUCUCUCUCUGUUUGUGUGUGUCUUAGUGUAUGUGUAUAUAUACGCCUGUGUGUAUGUGUGUGUGUGUCUUACAGGCUAUGAAUAAUCUUGCCAGAGCCAGGACACACAGCAGACGGCUGUAAUGCAGAGAGACUGUUUGUGGGUGCCAGCGAGUGUACCACCCUGGAUGGUGCCAACCCAGUCCAGGGGAGCGUGAGGAGUGUGGCUGCCCACUAACACCUCACCCAGGUGGGCAAGGACAGACGGCGGAAGUGCCAGUAGAUCCAGGGACAUCAGAGCCUAUGCAAGUUAGGAUGUGUUUCUAGUGUAGGCGGCCAGUGGCUCCCUCCCUCUCAAAGCUGACGUCACAAGAAGGGCUGAUGCAUGCCCUGUACACCAGGAAUGAAGACACUGGCACAGUACUCUUGUGUUUCUGUGUGUGACUGCCACCCGGUUGAAAACAAGUAACAUGUGGUAAUGGCAGCAAGCAAUAAUCCUAAUCCUAACCCUAGGAGUGGUAGUAGAAGAAGUAUUAGUGGUGGUGGGGGUGGCACUAGUCUUAGAAGUAGAAGUAAAAGGCCUAAAAGUAGUCGUAGUGGUGGUGGUGGCAAUAUUCUUAGAAGUAGGCUUGUGACAAUUUUAUUGUUUUGGUGCUAUAUAAAUACAUUUGAAUUGAAUUGAAUUGAAUUGAAGUAGCAGCAGUAGUUGUAGUUUCUGUAGGUCUAUAGUUACUGUGAUUGCAAAGCGGUAUUGCUUUGUAUCCCAUUCGUUGAGAAGUUUAUUAAGCUAUUUUGGGAGUGUGUUUGUGAUAACAUGUUUCUCUCUCUCUCUCUCUCUCUCUCUCUCUCUCUCUCUCUCUCUCUCUCUGUAUGUGUGUGUGUGUGUGUGUGUGUGUGUGUGUGUGUGUGUGUGUGUGU